rnacentral:rRNA from 1 species
UACGGAGGGUGCAAGCGUUAAUCGGAAUUGCUGGGCGUAAAGCGUGCGCAGGCGGUUUGUUAAGUCUGUUGUGAAAUCCCCGAGCUCAACUUGGGAAUUGCAAUGGAUACUGGCAGGCUGGAGUAUGGUAGAGGAAGGUGGAAUUCCCGGUGUAGCAGUGAAAUGCGUAGAGAUCGGGAGGAACACCAGUGGCGAAGGCGGCCUUCUGGACCAAUACUGACGCUCAUGCACGAAAGCGUGGGGAGCAAACAGG